rnacentral:rRNA from 1 species
AUUGAACGCUGGCGGCAGGCCUGACACAUGCAAGUCGAGCGGAUGAGGAGAGCUUGCUCUCUGAUUCAGCGGCGGACGGGUGAGUAAUGCCUAGGAAUCUGCCUGGUAGUGGGGGACAACGUUUCGAAAGGAACGCUAAUACCGCAUACGUCCUACGGGAGAAAGUGGGGGAUCUUCGGACCUCACGCUAUCAGAUGAGCCUAGGUACGAUUAGCUAGUUGGUGAGGUAAAGGCUCACCAAGGCGACGAUCGUUAACGGGUCUGAGAGGAUGAUCAGUCACACUGGAACUGAGACACGGUCCAGACUCCUACGGGAGGCAGCAGUGGGGAAUAUUGGACAAUGGGCGAAAGCCUGAUCCAGCCAUGCCGCGUGUGUGAAGAAGGUCUUCGGAUUGUAAAGCACUUUAAGUUGGGAGGAAGGACAGUAAGUUAAUACCUUGCUGUUUUGACGUUACCGACAGAAUAAGCACCGGCUAACUUCGUGCCAGCAGCCGCGGUAACAC